rnacentral:rRNA from 1 species
GGCGGACGGGUGAGUAAUGCGUAGGAAUUUACCUCAAAGCGGGGGAUAGCCCGGAGAAAUCCGGAUUAAUACCGCAUGUGCUCUACGGAGGAAAGCGGGCCUCUUCUUGAAAGCUCGCACUUUGAGAUAAGCCUACGUCGGAUUAGCUUGUUGGUAGGGUAAAAGCCUACCAAGGCGACGAUCCGUAGCUGGUUUGAGAGGAUGAUCAGCCACACUGGGACUGAGACACGGCCCAG